rnacentral:rRNA from 1 species
GAUGAACGCUAGCGGCAGGCUUAACACAUGCAAGUCGAGGGGCAGCGGGAUGUAGCAAUACAUUGCCGGCGACCGGCGCAAGGGUGCGUAACGCGUGAGCAACUUGCCCGUUUCUGGGGGAUAACCGGUGGAAACGCCGACUAAUACCCCAUAGUAUUGGAUUUAGGCAUCUUUAUCCAAUUAAAGAAUUUCGGAAACGGAUAGGCUCGCGUGACAUUAGCUAGAUGGCGGGGUAACGGCCCACCAUGGCUACGAUGUCUAGGGGUUCUGAGAGGAAGGUCCCCCACACUGGAACUGAGACACGGUCCAGACUCCUACGGGAGGCAGCAGUGAGGAAUAUUGGUCAAUGGUCGGAAGACUGAACCAGCCAUGCCGCGUGAAGGUCACGGCCCUAUGGGUCUUAAACUUCUUUUGUAAGGGAGCAAUAAGGCGUACGUGUACGUCGAUGAGAGUACCUUACGAAUAAGCAUCGGCUAACUCCGUG